GCAAUUGUUGAUCACAGAUUUCGACAGAAAUUCAAAGGAUCAGAGAGAAUUGAUGGUGGAUAUGAUGGGUCAAGUUAACGUUAAGCUCUUAGUCAGGUUUUUGGAAAGAAACAACGGUAUGUUCAUCGUUAGGACUCGCGGUUGUAGCGAUGCAGGAGACGAUUCAAGACAGUAGGACAGAUUUAGACAAAAUGCAGGAUUUUAAUGAAGACUCGCACCGGUACCCUGACAUGAACAUGUAAAUUUUUCGAGCCUCGAAACCAGCCUCGCUUAUGAUCAUGCCGAGUCAUAGCCGUGAUGGAAGUUGCCAGGAAACAACAGGUUAACUUAUCAUCAUAAAGUAAAUAGGCUUAUAACUCUGCCUACAUGUUUUCGCUUCCAAUUAAUAUCAUAGAACUUUUUAAAUUCGCC